rnacentral:rRNA from 1 species
UACGAAGGGGGCUAGCGUUGCUCGGAAUUACUGGGCGUAAAGGGCGCGUAGGCGGAUAUUUAAGUUGGGGGUGAAAUCCCGGGGCUCAACCUCGGAAUUGCCUUCAAAACUGGAUAUCUUGAGUUCGGGAGAGGUGAGUGGAACUCCGAGUGUAGAGGUGAAAUUCGUAGAUAUUCGGAAGAACACCAGUGGCGAGGGCGACUCACUGGCCCGAUACUGACGCUGAGGCGCGAAAGCGUGGGGAGCAAACAGG